rnacentral:rRNA from 1 species
ACUCAAAUGAAUUGACGGGGGCCCGCACAAGCAGCGGAGCGUGUGGUUUAAUUCGAUGCAACGCGAAACACCUUACCUGGGUUGGACGUGUGCGUAGUAGUGAAGCGAAAGCAGAACGACCCUUCGGGGAGCGCAUGCAGGUGCUGCAUGGCUGUCGUCAGCUCGUGUCGUGAGAUGUUGGGUUAAGUCCCGCAACGAGCGCAACCCUUGUCGCUAGUUACACGUGUCUAGCGAGACUGUCGGUCUAAAACCGGAGGAAGGUGGGGAUGACGUCAAGUCAGCAUGGCCUUUAUAUCCAGGGCGACACACACGCUACAAUGGCCGGUACAAUGGGCAGCCAAAGGGUGACCUGGAGCGAAUCCCAGCAAAGCCGGUCGUAGUUCAGAUUGUAGGCUGCAACCCGCCUCCAUGAAGCUGGAGUUGCUAGUAAACGCCGGUCAGCAUUACGGCGUUGAAUACGUUCCCGGGCCUUGCACACACCGCCCGU